GUGAAAACUGAACAGAAAAAGACGGGGACACUUUUAUUUUGUAGCCAGCAAAGUGAUGAAAACAACAAUAUCCAACAACUGCAUGCUGGAGCUAGAGAAAAUAUCGAUACGGCUGCGAACGUCUGUAUGUUAGUUGACGAACAAAGUUUGGAGAUGGUAAACAAAUGGACUUUACACGACGAUAUUCACAAGCUGGAAUAAUUUUAUGAAAAACCAUUUGGAUGCUUUUGAUCAGUGGAUUCUCACAAUUGGACAAUUGGAAUAUAAAUAAUUGAGGAAUUGCUUCAAAGGAUCUUGGCCCCGCACCCAUCGUUGCUGAUGCUGCCUUCCCCCUGCACAACAAUGCGCCCCUUUCCAGUUUAUGGCAGCACGGUGGCGAAUAUUUUGCCGGGCGAUUGAGUUCCGACCUGACAAUGCUGUGGAUGUCGUCAAAUCGUCAAAUCGAAUGCACCAGACAGCUGCUAUGUACCACCGCAAUUUACAGACACAGACUCUGCUGGAUCUGUACAGCUCGGUGAGUGGCGCAGAGUGGUGUCUGGAGAUGCCAGUAACCGUUCCAGCAAAGCUUAAUUUGAUUUAAGGAUGGACUUGAUGAGAUUAUUUCUUUCGUCAAAAGGAGCUGUGCCAUGGCAUGCUGACAUUGAGUCCCAUGGCACAUUUGGACAGUGAUGCUUAUAAACUUGCUUAAGCAACUUCUGUAAAUAAACAUCCAUAAAUGUCUAAACGUACGUGUUUUAUUUCAGUGCAAAGUGACAAGGUGCAAACAAUAAAAUGAAGUUAAAUCAAAACAAUACAAAAUAUGUGCAAACUAAAUGAAGUUAAAGUUAAAGUGCAAUAGGGCAAUGAUGAACCUCUUUCCAUUAAUAUAAAUGCCUGAAUAUUUGGCAGAGUUCACACAUGCUGACGGUUGGCAUGUAAAAUCUAAAAUCUAAAGUCUAUUAGGAUCCCAUUAGCCAUUGC
ensembl:lncRNA